GCUUGUUGAGCGUGUGAUCCACUUAUCUGCAGGGCUGAUCGCUAGUUAAACCCUGCCCAAGUAGCUGAAGGGCUGUUUGUUUUAUGACAAGCAGGACGAAGGAGCCCUGUAAGGUUCAGGGGUAGCGCUCCCCUUCAGCCAGUGUCUGAAAACGUUUGCUUGGGAAUUCCUAAGCCGGUAAAGGCUGGAUGUGAACCAUUUUUAUGCCUGUGUACCAAAACAGAAGUGUGUGUGUGUGUGUGUGUGUGUGCGUGUGUGUGCGUGUGUGUGUACACAUGCAUGUGCACAUGCACAUGCACAUGCACAUAUGAUGGUGUACCUGUGCAAUUCUCCAACUAGGAAAGUGGAGGCAAGAGGAACAGGAGUUCAAGGCCAUCCUGGAAUUCAAGUUGCAGGGGACCUGAGGCCCUCUUCUGAGCUCCGAAGGCACCAGGCCCUCGUGUGGCCCACAGCAAACAUACAAACCAAACCAUCACACAGGGAAAUAAAUAAUUAUAUUUUAAGAGAAAGAAAAGAAACCCAAAGAGGAGCGGUAAAUGGUACAAGACACUGGAGCCCUAGGUUCUGACUUCUGACACCAGAGGCCUUCAAGACGGGCUGGGGAUCUGUGGGGCCAGGAUAGAGAACUCUGCUAUUUGCUUCUCCAAAGAAGUCACCCGUGUCUGUUUCUGUUCCCCAUUACAGCUGAUUCCAGGCACUGCAAUGUCCCUGAUUUCUUGGAAGCCUCACGUCACCCGUGAGAGCUUGGAGCACGGGAAUGUAGCAGUAUACCCUGCUCAUGUGGGAACAGAACCAAGGCCUUCGAACACUCUAGGCAAGUACUGUACCAACUGCGGCACAACCGCAGGUCCAUCCAUCUCUGUUUCUAUCUCUCCCCCACUCCCACGCCCCAGUAUCUAAAAUAUUACCCAGAGCCUUGCAUAGGACAGGCUGAGAAGGCGAUCUACCACAGACCUGUAUCCCAAGCCCCAGCCGGUGACUUUGCGAAGUGCUUCCUUCACUGCUCGCCUCAGGAGAGCGUGACAUUACCUGUAAGGAAAACAGAACCCAGCCAAGGAUGGAGGAACCCACCCGUGAGCCCAACCCCUCCAAAGAGUUCAGAGCAGAAAGAAGGCUAAAUAAAUACUGACGUCAACCCAACCAGAGGUCAGUCUGGACUAAGUACUGACGCCCAAGCCUGGUUCCCCCAGGACUGCUCUGCGGCAGGAGACGUUGUCAUAAAGACCAGACUGUCCCUAGGAUGUAGCCCAAGGCCGACCUAGAACCAGUGAGGCUCCUGUCCUCUGUUCCCAACGGCAAGACAGGAGAGGCGCUCACAGCCAUGCCUGGCUUCCCCUUCGCUUUCGGUUCUGUGUUACUGGAAAUCGUGGCUGGCCGGGGAAGCUCUCCUUUUCUGCCUCUGGAGGAGGCUGCCGGAAAUGUGAACGACCCAAGGAGAUGCUGCAAGCUCCUCCCUGCAAUUGUCUUUGAGAACAAACUGGAGUGUUGGGGGCCAGGGAUGGAGUUUAGUUUUAGAGCGCUUGCCUACUGUAUCCAGGGAUGGGAUACAAAGAAUUCAAGCAAUGGGGAGCAGUCUGGGGACCCCGACUGCCAGCCCACUCAGCCUCCUAAACAACAUGAACGCCUUGACUGGAGGGUCAGCAUGUAUUGAGCUAGCUCUGGCCCAGGCUUCAACCGCAAAAAGAGACCUGGGGGUAGUGAUGGGCAAAGUGGGGUAAGGGGUCCAUCAGCUGCCUGAGACCAGGUAAGUGCUGACACCCACAACAAGGGAGGGUUCAAAGGUCAAAGGGUGCUGUUCUCCAGAGAUUCUGGCAUCCACUCAGCCCCCGAAUGAAUAUCUAACCUUGACUAAGCCGGGUGUGCCUCACCUCCUCUUUUAUAACAGGAAAAGAGAUUAGAUAACAUCCCUCUACUAUCCUCCCGAUAACUCCUAAGGAAUUGGCUUGAGGACUACGGUGUCCCAUGAGGACAUUUUCCUUCCCACCUCCUGCAGGCAGGGUCUCUCCUUGUAGCUCUGGUUGGUAAAGAACUUAAAAUCACUAUGAUCUCAACCUCCAAGAUGCAGGGCUUGUAGACCCAGGCCUACUAGAUCAUUUUAAGACAGGGUUUUUCUGUGUAGCCCUGGAUAUCCUGAAGCUCCCUUUGUAGACCAGGCUGGCCUGGAACUCACAGACCUGCCUGCCUCUGCCUCCUGAGCACAUGAAUUAAAAGCAUGUGUCACUAAGGUCCAGCUUGGAAUUCUGACUAAAAUUUUGUUAUAGCCAGGACAAUGGUGCAUGCCUUUAAUCCUAGCAGUCCAGUACUGCAGAGGCAGAGUCAUGAGUUCAAGGCCAGCCUGCACUGCAUAGCAAGCUUCAAGCUACACGGUACACAGUUCACUGUCACCAAAGAAUAGAAAGAAAAAGUACGGAAAUCUGACUAGUGGCGCCAGAGAGGCAGCUUGGUUGAUAAGAGUGCUUUUCUGCUGCGCAGGAGGCCCAGGAUCCCUGUGAGCACAGCAUGCGGGGCAGUUAGCACUUGGGGAGAACUGGAUGGAUGGAAGGAUGCAGAGAAGGGCUCCUUCUGCAUCCACCUACGAUGACCUGCACAACCAGCUUGUCUGCCUGACGGUCUGUGGCCGCAUCUUUCUCUCUGUAUCAAGGAAGAAGAUAUUUAUCUGUCCCUUCGGAAGCCACCGCAUUUGAAAGGAAGGAGUCUGGCUUCCUGGCCAAAUGUGACCCAGAGGACCUCCUUCUUCCACCUCCCAACCCCACUUCCCAGAGGGGAAGAGGGAGAGCGCUCUGGUGUACACACACACACACACACAUACACACACACACCAACUAUCAGGGAAUGCUUCCUGUUUUCCUGUCCUGAAAGUAUUCUGGAUGGACAAACCAGGGGGGUUCAAAGAGGCUGCCUGCCUCUGGGGCCUGGGGAAAGGCAGAAUGGCUUUUAACUCUCCGGUACCCCGUGUUCACGUUGCACAGACAGUCAGACUCCUUUGUCUCUGCUGGAUUUUAUGUGUAGCUGGGACUCGAACCCAGGUCUUCCUAAACACUUGGCAAGCACUCUACGAACUGACCUACAUCCUCACCCCAGAUUUGAACAUCUUGAGGGCCAUUCACUAAUUUAUUUGUCUAUGAUGCUGUCUCUGAAUCCUGACUUUGUAUGAAGAUACGGAGGUGAUAGAGACAGACACGAUGGGGUCCCCAAAGUCACAGAGGAUGAUGAUCCCCAAGUGCUGACAUGAUAAAGCACCAGUGGAUGCCUAAGCAGGUAUCCGAUAACUCAGCCUAAACUCCUAUGUAAAGAGAGAUGACCUUGAACUGCACCUCUGCAGUGCUGGGGUCCCAGACACACAUCCUGACUUCUGUGGUGGCUGGGGAUCCAACCAAGAACUUCUUGAAUGCUAAGCAAGCUCUACCAACCGAGACCGCUCUUCAGUCUGCAUUUGUUUGGUUUUGCAUUCCCUACCCCACAAGCUUCCAGCUGAGGUUCUGUCUGAAUGAUGACUACAACCUACAACUGAGAUCACUCGGCUAGACUCUGCAUUCUAGGUUUGACUAGCUCAAAAAAACAAAACAAAACAAAACAAAAUAAAAACAAACAACCCCA